rnacentral:misc_RNA from 1 species
AAUCCAAUCAAGCCUGGCUUGGUAUUGGGCGCCGGGGACCCCCCGCGCCCCAAUUUCACCGGCUGGCCGUCGCCCGUCUUAGCGUUGUGACACACUUCUCGCUAGCGAUUGGGCCGGAUCACGCCGUUAGAACCCCCGAAAUUUCAGUCGAAAUUUGAUCAA